AUGUCGAACUCGAAAGAGAAGAGGAUUUCAAGUUAUGUGGCGAGAACUAACGACGAUUCUGUGCAAAACGAGAAUCUCGAGGCAGUUAAAGAGAAGGCGCUCAAGAUAGGUGCCGUCAAGUCCCGUGAAAUUUAUAAGUCACCGAGCGGCAGAAUCUUGCAUGUCGCACAUCGGGAUUUCAAAGUACUUGGAUCGCGAGGUGCUGAGGAUCAAAUCCUAUCUAAUACAUAAAAUAUCGAAUUACUAUGGUGAGCUGGUUUUCUGGUUUUCAUCCGAGCGCGAAUUCAUGAGACGCGUUAAGCGUUAAGCGUUCACAAAAACACGUAAAAAUACGGCAGAGCGUGACUGCAAUUGCACAAGGUGCAUCGAGCGAGGCCUUAUAAUAAGGCCCUUAUUGGUACAAUCAGGACCUCGCCUCGACGGAUCUGCAAGACUUUGAACCGACAGAUGCUACUGAUUUUAUCCGCGGGCUCCAAGACCAAAGGAAUCUCAUCGAAAUUCAGCAAACAACAGCACGAUAUCUGAACAUCUUGUGACAAGUUCCACUGUAGAUUUCAAUAAAGGACGCACCGCACUUAAGUUCAACGCUAUUUUAUUAUCUUAAACAUGUACAGCGUGUUCUUGAGACAUAGUUCGAUAUCUUGAAUAACAGCGGAACAAUCUACGAGAUAUAUAUAUAUAACGUGCACGGUAUCGCAAGGUACGAGAGGAGCGGUCGGGUCGCAAGGACAAAACGUAAAAUCGGCUUGCGGAUUGAUUCGAUCCAGAGAAAUUCGACUUUUUUUUUACUUUUACAUGGGUCUCGUGCAUGCAGUGGUCGUGUGCGGGAGGGGGUAAGGUGGUAUCGCAAUAAAACACUACCGCUACACUUUUGUUCUCGUUUUUAGUUAUUAAUAAUUAAACGUUAGGAUCAUUAGCAUACUCUCUCGUGGGGAUUAUAAUAGUGUAUACAUAUAAUAUGCCAUACCUUAUAGGGAUAUAUUAAUAGUAUACACAGCGUGAUUUUCUUCGUGUUCCUUUCUCUCUCUCUCUCACUCUCUCUAUUCUCUGCUCGGACUUCGCAACUUAAAGAAAACUCAUCAAAUGCGAAACAAUGACAGUGCUUCUCUUCGGAUAUAUCUAUAUAUAUCUCGACUACGAAUUACUUUCUACACAGGUCUCUUACUUGCGUUCUCUGUUCCGCUCUCUCCGUUAUAUGCACGUACAUACGUAGGUGCGUGUGUGUGUGCCUGCGUAUGUAUGUGUGAGUGAGUGAGCGAGUGUAUGUAUAGCAUGCAAAAUUACAAACUAGGGAAGGUAAUUCUUUAUGCAUAUAGAAUGAGUAACCUACAGUAGCUCUUGUAUUCACAUCUCCUCGUUAAUGUUAUAGUUGAAAUACCGUAAUAAACAUGUUCCUCCU